rnacentral:tRNA from 1 species
GGGCCCGUGGCCUAGCUGGAUAAGGCGGCAGCCUUCUAAGCUGCAGAUCCGGGGUUCGAAUCCCCGCGGGCCCG